rnacentral:rRNA from 1 species
CACGGAGGCUAAAUUUUGACUCAACACGGGAAAUCUCACCAGGCCCGGACACUGGAAGGAUUGACAGAUUGAGAGCUCUUUCUCGAUUCGGUGGGUGGUGGUGCAUGGCCGUUCUUAGUUGGUGGAGUGAUUUGUCUGGUUAAUUCCGAUAACGAACGAGACUCUGUCCUGCUAAAUAGUGUCAGCCUCUCUUCUGGGCUGACAAUUCUUCUUAGAGGGACUGGCGGCUCCUAGCCGCACGAGAUAGAGCAAUAA